rnacentral:rRNA from 1 species
AUUGAACGCUGGCGGCAUGCCUUACACAUGCAAGUCGAACGGCAGCACGGAGCUUGCUCUGGUGGCGAGUGGCGAACGGGUGAGUAAUAUAUCGGAACGUACCCAAGAGUGGGGGAUAACGUAGCGAAAGUUACGCUAAUACAGCAUACGAUCUAAGGAUGAAAGCAGGGGACCGCAAGGCCUUGUGCUCCUGGAGCGGCCGAUAUCUGAUUAGCUAGUUGGUGAGGUAAAGGCUCACCAAGGCAUCGAUCAGUAGCUGGUCUGAGAGGACGACCAGCCACACUGGAACUGAGACACGGUCCAGACUCCUACGGGAGGCAGCAGGGGGGAAUUUUGGACAAUGGGGGCAACCCUGAUCCAGCAAUGCCGCGUGAGUGAAGAAGGCCUUCGGGUUGUAAAGCUCUUUUGUCAGGGAAGAAACGGUCGUGGCUAAUAUCCAUGGCUAAUGACGGUACCUGAAGAAUAAGCACCGGCUAACUACGUGCCAGCAGCCGCAGUAA